UUUCAGAAGUCAGACGUGACUUCGUUACUGUCGUAGUAUCAUUGUUACACGUGUGUUAAACGAAUCUAGAGACAAUCUAUUUAAAUGACAUCUGGUAAAGUAAAUAAAUUAUAAGGAAAGUAAUACAGUAUCGCGAUAUUGAUAACGCAAGCAACGCAGUAAAUUUGGAUAAGAACAAUUGUGAUAUCGAAUCUUAUUGAUAAAUUUUGUUAUAAAAUCGUUAGAUAUUUACGAUGCAUUUCAUUAAAUUAACGCACAGUUUAAAGCAAGUUUUAUAUUCGUUUGCUGCUAUUAUUAAUUUCUUUCUAUGCUUAUCAGUAAUACUACCAAUUAGUAAAGCGCAUAUUGAAUUUUAUACGAAAAGUACUACUGAAGAAAAUGUACCAUCUGAUGAUAUUAAUAAAAUAUAUUUAAAUGCAUCUUGGAAACAAAUUGGAGAAAUAAUGUUGGAUGUAUUCAUAGUAUUGGCUUUAUUUAUCUUAUCAAUUUUUGUUUUGACAAUUACUUUACUUGCUUGUGAAGUGUACUGUCCAGAUCGUAUUACGCCCAUCAUAGAAUUCAUAGAUGGCUUAGGUAUAAGACACAGGUUGAGAAAUCACUUCCGCCGGCUCUUUCGCGUGCGUCGAGAGCCUCGUCGUCCGUCACAUUUGAUCGUUCAUUUUAAUGCAGGCCCCCACGUAAAUAAUAUUUGAAUCGUCAGAUGAAGAAGAAGUAGAACGUUAUUAAUUUGGAAAGUUAACAUGGAUGGUUUGUACACGUUAUGUAGUAAAAUAUUACUUAUUUAUGAUACUAGUAAGAUCUCGUAAGUAUGUUAUCAUGUUCGAAUCUCAAUUUCAAGUUAUUCUGAUAAUGCGUACGUUGCUCCACGAUUAAUUGUUAAGCAAGAAAAUAUAUAUUAUACAUAAUUAUGUAAUAAUAUAAUCACAAUGAGAGGAAUAUGUGAUAAUUAAUAAGAAUUCAUAUAUACAAUUCAUAAAAUUUAAAAGCUAUUCA